GACAGGUGGUGCAUGGUUGUCGUCAGCUCGUGUCGUGAGAUGUUGGGUUAAGUCCCGCAACGAGCGCAACCCUUAAGCUUAGUUGCCAUCAUUAAGUUGGGCACUCUAAGUUGACUGCCGGUGACAAACCGGAGGAAGGUGGGGAUGACGUCAAAUCAUCAUGCCCCUUAUGAUUUGGGCUACACACGUGCUACAAUGGACAAUACAAAGGGCAGCGAAACCGCGAGGUCAAGCAAAUCCCAUAAAGUUGUUCUCAGUUCGGA
rnacentral:rRNA from 1 species